rnacentral:rRNA from 1 species
AACAACGCUGGCGGCAGGCUUAACCACUGCAUUAUCGAACGAGAAGCUUGGCUUCCCGCCAAGUUGACAGUGGCAGACAGGGUGAGUAACUGCGUGGGAACGUACCCUCUUGGUUCGGAACAACUCCGGGAAACUGGAGCUAAUACCGGAUGUGCCCUUCGGGGGAAAGAUUUAUCGCCAAGGGAUCGGCCUGCGUCGGAUUAGCUUGUUGGUGGGGUAACGGCCUACCAAGGCUAUGAUCCGUAGCUGGUCUGAGAGGAUGAUCAGCCACACUGGGACUGAGACACGGCCAGACUCCUACGGGAGGCAGCAGUGGGGAAUAUUGGACAAUGGGACGCAAGCCUGAUCCAGACCAUGCCGCAGUGAGUGAUGAAGGCCCUAGGGUUGUAAAGCUCUUUCGCCAGGGACGAUAAUGACGGUACCUGGAUAAGAAGCCCCGGCUAACUUCGUGCCAGCAGCCGCGGUAAUACGAAGGGGGCUAGCGUUGUUCGGAAUUACAUGGGCGUAAAGCGCAUGCAAGAGCGGAUCGCUAAAUCGGGGGUGAAAGCCCGAGGCUCAAACUCGGAACUGACUUCCGAUACUGGACGACACUCAGAGUCCCGGGAGAGGUGCAGUGGAACUCCCGAAGUGUAGAGGUGAACUUCCGAUACAUAUUCCGGAAGAACACCAGGUGGCAUGAAGGCGGAUCACUGGCCCCGGUACUUGACAGCUGACAUGCAAAAGCGUGGGGACCAACAGGAUUAAAUACCUGCUAAUCACGCGUAAACGAUGGAUGCUAGACGUCAA